rnacentral:rRNA from 1 species
AUUGAACGCUGGCGGCAGGCUUAACACAUGCAAGUCGAGCGGGGUGAUGGUGCUUGCACUAUCACUUAGCGGCGGACGGGUGAGUAAUGCUUAGGAAUCUGCCUAUUAGUGGGGGACAACAUCUCGAAAGGGAUGCUAAUACCGCAUACGUCCUACGGGAGAAAGCAGGGGAUCACUUUGGACCUUGCGCUAAUAGAUGAGCCUAAGUCGGAUUAGUUAGUUGGUGGGGUAAAGGCCUACCAAGGCGACGAUCUGUAGCGGUUCUGAGAGGAUGAUCCGCCACACUGGGACUGAGACACGGCCCAGACUCCUACGGGAGGCAGCAGUGGGGAAUAUUGGACAAUGGGGGGAACCCUGAUCCAGCCAUGCCGCGUGUGUGAAGAAGGCCUUAUGGUUGUAAAGCACUUUAAGCGAGGAGGAGGCUCUUUUGGUUAAUACCCAAGAUGAGUGGACGUUACUCGCAGAAUAAGCACCGGCUAACUCUGUGCCAGCAGCCGCCGUAA